rnacentral:rRNA from 1 species
GAUGAACGCUGGCGGCGUGCUUAACACAUGCAAGUCGAGCGAGAAGUUUUGAAAAGAUUCUUCGGAUGAAAUUUAAAAUGGAAAGCGGCGGACGGGUGAGUAACGCGUAGGCAACCUGCCCCAUACAAAGGGAUAGCAUUUGGAAACGAAUAUUAAUACCUUAUGAAACUUAACUAGUGCAUGCUAGGUAGGUCAAAGAUUUAUCGGUAUGGGAUGGGCCUGCGUCUGAUUAGCUAGUUGGUGAGGUAACGGCUCACCAAGGCGACGAUCAGUAGCCGACCUGAGAGGGUGAACGGCCACAUUGGAACUGAGACACGGUCCAAACUCCUACGGGAAGCAGCAGUGGGGAAUAUUGCACAAUGGGGGAAACCCUGAUGCAGCAACGCCGCGUGAACGAUGAAGGCCUUUGGGUCGUAAAGUUCUGUUCUAGGUGAUGAAAACUGACAGUAACCUAGGAGAAAGCCCCGGCUAACUCCGU